rnacentral:rRNA from 1 species
AGGUUGACCUCGGAUCAGGUAGGGAUACCCGCUGAACUUAAGCAUAUCAAUAAGCGGAGGAAAAGAAACCAACAGGGAUUGCCCCAGUAACGGCGAGUGAAGCGGCAAGAGCUCAAAUUUGAAAGCUGGCUCCUUCGGGGUCCGCAUUGUAAUUUGUAGAGGAUGCUUCGGGAGCGGUCCCCAUCUAAGUGCCCUGGAACGGGACGUCAUAGAGGGUGAGAAUCCCGUAUGGGAUGGGGUGUCCGCGCCCGUGUGAAGCUCCUUCGACGAGUCGAGUUGUUUGGGAAUGCAGCUCUAAAUGGGUGGUAAAUUUCAUCUAAAGCUAAAUAUUGGCCGGAGACCGAUAGCGCACAAGUAGAGUGAUCGAAAGAUGAAAAGCACUUUGAAAAGAGAGUUAAAAAGCACGUGAAAUUGUUGAAAGGGAAGCGCUUGCGACCAGACUCGCUCGCGGGGUUCAGCCGGCAUUCGUGCCGGUGUAUUUCCCCGCGGGCGGGCCAGCGUCGGUUUGGGCGGUCGGUCAAAGGCCCUCGGAAGGUAACGCCCCUAGGGGCGUCUUAUAGCCGAGGGUGCAAUGCGACCUGCCUAGACCGAGGAACGCGCUUCGGCUCGGACGCUGGCAUAAUGGUCGUAAGCGACC